rnacentral:lncRNA from 1 species
UAUGCCCGAGACAACCAUCAGGAUCGUAAACGUGCAACAGCUUUAUACCAGGUGAAUGUGUGAGCAAACAGAUCAGAGAAUCUUCAUAAGUGCAGACUCAGAUGCCAGGCAGGUUCUACCUGCCAGGUGGCUCUCCAGGUGUGUCCUGUGAUUCCCCACGCUCGCCUGCAGGCUGCACUGUUGCCGUGGUUAUCUCCCAGGCUACCACAGCAGGCAAUUCAAACAGGUUGUGUCAACACUGCAGGUAGACACUGAAUCCGCACCAGCCAAGGCUGAAAACGGUUGCAGCCGUGAGAACUGUGGACUCUGAGAAGCAAGGAAAGGAGCCCACUCAGAGCUCCAAGAGUGCGCAUGCGUGGAGGACCACCUACUGAAGCAUGGCUAUCUUUCACGGACACAUUCCUGAAGAAAGCCAUCCUUUACCAGGAGUUUCUCACCUAGUGGAGUUUUCUGGUCAUCUCUGGACUUCAGGCUGGGAUUUGUGUUGGGCUCCAUCUUGCCCGAGUCUUGUGCCUGUAGUCACAGAUGCGCUCAGUUCCUAUGUGUAACUGCUCUCCUGUCUCUGGAAACCACUGUUUGGCUAUUGUCAUCCCAUGGCUCCUACAAUUUUUUCUACUCCCUCUUCCUUGAUCAUCUGUUGUUUAACUUGCUGAGCCUUUGGAGGAAAGGCUGUGAUAUAGAUAUUUGAAGUCUCGUAGGCUCUGCACCCUGACCAGAUGUGAAUCUCUGUACUAACUGGCACCUAUUGCUCCGGAAGACGCUUCAUCUAUGAAAGUAGAUGUAUGGGCAUAAUGAUCUCAGUAAAAAGCAGUUAGAGCCUUGGGAGCCUAGUGCUCACUUUAUGAUUAUUUUACUCCAAGGAAACCUAGCUGUGUGGAUGCAUCCGACAGUUCUCUUGCUGACCAGGGAAGGUUGGGACAGAUCAGAGGCUAGGAGCACAGAGACCCUGAAGCGGGAGCCUCCCAGUCAACAGCCCAAGAGUAGGAGUUUAAAUGGUGGCAACCAGGGGAGAGACAGUUGCAGAGUCCCCAACCCCUGGGCUCUGCACUUUGCUUCCAUCUUGCACGCCUCCGUUUUCCUUUGCACUACUUUCCCCCUAAAACCUCAUUUCCUUUUUCAACGCCCACAGUGGGGCAGUGUGCAAAGAAUAAAAAUAUGUCUCCUUUGCUACAAACGGGAAUACAGACCCUGUUGGAGUGGCACCUUGGCCCAAUGGCCCUUUGUUCUGCUUCUUAAUGACUAAUUAUCAUGCUAUGAAGUGCUUAUGCAACCGUCAUGGAGUUGCCGCCCUCCUGCUGGAGAGGCUGGACGUGUGUAAUCCUCAGAAGCCAUGACUGGCUCUUGGAGUUGUGCAAGGAGUAAUUACCGAAUCCAGCCGAGGCUUGCUUCUUAUUACAGGCUCCAGGCCUUACCCCCACUAGCUUUACAUGCUCGUUAAUAUUUAAACUGCCAAGCAGCAGCAGAAUAUUUUGUAAGCUUCAGGAAUGGCCCCAGGACUCAGUGCCGGCCUAGGACCCAGGACAGGCCGGUUAGGAGAGGGCAAGAGAUCACGUUCAGGUGGGAUUUCUUUGGGGACGUUUGUCCUUUUACAAAUGUCGGCCCUGGAAGGGCUCUAACUUCCCUCCCUUAGCUAGAGAAAAGAAAUUAAACAUCGCCAGUCUUAUUCUAAGGUGGCCCAUGGAGAGCCCUGGGAAGAAUGAUUUCAGGACUGAACCAGCUGCUGGGAUGUAGAGUCUUCUGGACAGCCAGAAUCGGGAGGGAAAGCCCAUUGUGAUUUAUCUGUGGCAGAUUGUGACAUAUCGAUUCUGUGGAUUCUUCUUAUGUUUAAUUCCUAGAAGGAUUACGAAUCAUUCCAUUCAUAUCCAGCACCUCUGCCAGCCAGGGAUGUAAGACAACGCUUAAGGCUGUCAACAUGAUGGUUAUCUUUGAAAACUGUGGUGUGUGUUUGUAGAGAUCGCCUCUUUGGUACACAAGAGGAUGAAUCUUCCCAGACCAGAGAGAGCACCAGGCCUCCUAGGCAUUGCCAUUAGCAAAGGGCAGAUGCUGGUGCCAGGCCAAGGAAAGGACCAGGAACGAGGUUCUCCACACAUCCUCCAUCCGUGCGUUCCAGGGCUCGUGGGUUUGCUUCAGCCAAAACCUCGAACGAGCCACAUCCUUGUGUUCUUGACUGUGAUGAGGUCUUUUAUUGCAUUUAUAAAUGUUCCCCCUGGGGCUAUUACUCAAAAGGGUUCAUCUAAUGAAUAAGACAACUAACAAUUAUUCUGUUUCAGAUUGCGAGCUAUGUGUAACUUCUCCGAGGGGUCAAACGUGUUAUGUUUGCUCAACAUUGCCCCAGCCUUCUGACACGUGUGAUUACAGAGCAGGAGUGCAGACAUGUGGGCAUAUGUAUUUCUGUCUUCAGGCUCCUGAGUGCCCACUGUAAUCUUAAGUUGUAUCAUCUCUGUAGUCCUGAGAAUCGUCUCUUAAAUAAACAAAUGAAGGACGGACUUGAUCUCU